rnacentral:rRNA from 1 species
AACAGGAUUAGAUACCCUGGUAGUCCACGCCGUAAACGAUGAUAACUAGCUGUCCGGUCACUUGGUGAUUGGGUGGCGCAGCUAACGCAUUAAGUUAUCCGCCUGGGGAGUACGGUCGCAAGAUUAAAACUCAAAGGAAUUGACGGGGGCCUGCACAAGCGGUGGAGCAUGUGGUUUAAUUCGAAGCAACGCGCAGAACCUUACCAGCGUUUGACAUCCUCAUCGCGGAUUAGAGAGAUCUUUUCCUUCAGUUCGGCUGGAUGAGUGACAGGUGCUGCAUGGCUGUCGUCAGCUCGUGUCGUGAGGUGUUGGGUUAAGUCCCGCAACGAGCGCAACCCUCGUCCUUAGUUGCCAUCAUUUGGUUGGGCACUCUAAGGAAACUGCCGGUGAUAAGCCGGAGGAAGGUGGGGAUGACGUCAAGUCCUCAUGGCCCUUACACGCUGGGCUACACACGUGCUACAAUGGCGGUGACAGUGGGCAGCAAGCACGCGAGUGUGAGCUAAUCUCCAAAAGCCGUCUCAGUUCGGAUUGUUCUCUGCAACUCGAGAGCAUGAAGGCGGAAUCGCUAGUAAUCGCGGAUCAGCAUGCCGCGGUGAAUACGUUCCCAGGCCUUGUACACACCGCCCGUCACACCAUGGGAGUUGGAUUCACUCGAAGGCGUUGAGCUAACCCGCAAGGGAGGCAGGCGACCACAGUGGGUUUAGCGACUGGGGUGAAGUCGUAACAAGGUAACC